rnacentral:misc_RNA from 1 species
ACCCGUGUAAAGUGUAUCAGCAACUUGCCUUGCUUCUUAAGUUUUUCCAAGUUUCCUUCUUUUCUUCUAUGCCUUGAAUUUCCUUCAGAACACCUAAAAAUAUGCAAAAAACAUAGAUUUUAGUAUGGAUCGGUGAAAUUUACAAAAAAUAAUGAAAUUAUAAAAUAUGCAUGCAAUUACCUAUCUAAAUGUCAUGAAAUGUUGUACAAUUGUGCUUAAAAAUAUCUAUAUAA